UACGUGGGGUGCGAGCGUUACUCGGAAUUACUGGGCGUAAAGCGUGCGCAGGCGGUUCGUUGUGUCGGUGGUGAAAGCCCCGGGCUUAACCUGGGAAUGGCCGUCGAAACUGGCGAACUGGAGUGUGGCAGAGGGGGGUGGAAUUCCGCGUGUAGCAGUGAAAUGCGUAGAGAUGCGGAGGAACACCGAUGGCGAAGGCAGCCCCCUGGGCUGACACUGACGCUCAGGCACGAAAGCGUGGGGAGCAAACAGG
rnacentral:rRNA from 1 species